GCUCGGCCGGCUCUCCCUAGCGUCUGGGGGGUCCCCUGCGGGUCCUUGCGAAGCUCUCACGGUGGGAACCCAGCCUUUCGAGGUGGGCUGAAGCGGGCACCCGUAAGGAAAGGGGACAUUUAGCAGUGUUUAGGAAAAUGUUAACAAUGCGGAUUGGGGAAAAGCAUGCCCCAGACAAGUGGAGAAUUG